rnacentral:rRNA from 1 species
UACCUUUUUUCGAAGGGAUAGGGUCGGUUCGGCCGGAUUUUACACAAGUGUUGCAUGGCUGUCGUCAGCUCGUGUCGUGAGAUGUUGGGUUAAGUCCCGCAACGAGCGCAACCCUCAUCCUUAGUUGCUAUCAGGUAAUGCUGAGUACUUUAAGGAAACUGCCAGUGAUAAGCUGGAGGAAGGUGGGGAUGAUGUCAAGUCAUCAUGGCCUUUAUGGAGUGGGCUACACACGUGCUACAAUGGUGUCUACAAUGGGCUGCAAGGUGCGCAAGCCUAAGCUAAUCCCUAAAAGACAUCUCAGUUCGGAUUGUACUCUGCAACUCGAGUACAUGAAGUUGGAAUCGCUAGUAAUCGUGGAUCAGCAUGCCACGGUGAAUACGUUCUCGGGUCUUGUACACACUGCCCGUCACGCGCAUGGGAAUUGGUUUCCCUCGAAGCU